UUACCGGCUUGACAUGGAUGAAAGACCGCAAGGAACAGGUGCUGCAUGGCUGUCGUCAGCUCGUGUCGUGAGAUGUUGGGUUAAGUCCCGCAACGAGCGCAACCCUGCGCCUGUUGCCACCCGGGGAGACUCUGGCGGACUGCCUCGUUCAAGAGGAGGAAGGUGGGGAUGACGUCAAGUCAGUAUGGCCCUUACGCCGGGCUGCACACGUACUACAAUGCGGCACAAGGGGCACAGCAAUGGGAGCAAUCCUUAACCGGCCCAGUUCAGAUUGUCGGCUGCAACUCGCCGGCAUGAAGCUGGAAUCGCUAGUAAUGGCGAUCAGCACGCGCCGUGAAUACGUUCCCAGGCCUUGUACACACCGCCCGUCACAUCAUGAAAGCCGUUGACCAAA
rnacentral:rRNA from 1 species